rnacentral:rRNA from 1 species
AGAGUUUGAUCCUGGCUCAGGAUGAACGCUAGCGGCAGGCCUAAUACAUGCAAGUCGAACGGGAUUAUCCAGCUUGCUGGAUAUGAGAGUGGCGAAUGGGUGCGUAACGCGUGAGCAACCUACCCUUGUCUGGGGGAUAGCCCGGAGAAAUCCGGAUUAAUACCGCAUAACAUCGAAGAGCGGCAUUGCUUUUCGAUCAAACAUUUAUGGGACAUGGAUGGGCUCGCGUGACAUUAGCUAGUUGGUGAGGUAAUGGCUCACCAAGGCUACGAUCGAUAGGGGGUCUGAGAGGAUGAUCCCCCACACUGGUACUGAGAUACGGACCAGACUCCUACGGGAGGCAGCAGUAGGGAAUAUUGGUCAAUGGAGGCAACUCUGAACCAGCCAUGCCGCGUGUAGGAAGAAGGCGUUCUGCGUUGUAAACUACUUUUGAUUGGGAACAAAUGACUCUUGCGAGAGUAGCUGAGUUACCAAUAGAAUAG